rnacentral:lncRNA from 11 species
CACCUUCAAAGUCCACUCAUGGUUCUCUAUGGCGGGAAAGAUAGCAGGUGUGUGGAACUCCAGAACAUUCUCCUUUAUUUACCACAUAACUGAACUGUCUCUGGAAGGUGAGGGAAAAGGAUGGAAGUCCAGUCAAACUACUGCUCACUAACUCACUCUCCCUCCCUCUGCAAACAUUGGAUUUAAACCUACUCAGAAUUCAGCACAGAGGAAAGCGGCAAGCCGAACCGCUUCAGACUACUGCAGCUCUUCAAGAUGUAUCAUCCUGCUUGCUGGAUCGUCUUCACGGCCACAACUGCCCUGUUCUUCAUCCCAGGUAAGUGGCAUUUACUUAUUGUUGAAUCUCACAAAAAAAGUCGAGAUGUAGGGAUGCAAAACAUCCCCCCUCCUCACCUCAACCCCGUUGGCAGUUUCUUGGCAGGUAAACCUAAAUUUCCCUUUCCUUUGUUCCUGGGUGAAACUGUUUUCUUUUGUUCUCUUUCUCAACCUCGACCUCAGUUUGUGGAAAGCGAGCAGGAG